CAGGAGGUGUCUGGGUGGGAAACGCGGAGGCCCCCGAGUUGGGGACCGUCUGAUCGGGGAUAGGACUGGCUUUGGCCCGCUUUGGCAGGAAGAUGGGGCUAGAUAGUUGACGUAGAGAGAUUCAAGAGAAGAUUAAAACUCAAUGAAAAAACCUACACACAGUCCAAGGGUUGCAGGUCUGCCAACUUCCUUCUGGUGACACAUUGUGUUCAGAGAAAUAUCCAAUAAACCAAAGACAUUGCUUUAACUGUGAAUGUACUUUAUUGCAGAUAUUUUCCUCAAAUAAAAUGGAGCAUAAAUAAAAUA